UAGACCCCAUUUAAGGGCUGACUCCCAAGGAGAAAGGUUCUCUACCUGGAGAUUACUUCUCUUGGAGCCCUUCUGUGAGCCCAGGAUACAGAUAAGUCCUGCAGAGAAUCAUUGCCUUCAGAUGGGAAAUGAGACCCACAACUUCUGGGUAACUCUCUAAGUAGAGCUGCUCCAAGCUACACCACUCAUACUCACUGUAGACCUGAGCAUCGCUUCCUCAGGUGUCCGCGGGUUGGCAUAAACCCACUCCCUAAUCCUGUCUCUUUUAAGCCAAGUACAGCCAUAUCCAAAGCAGGUUCCCAAUCCUUUAGG